rnacentral:tRNA from 1 species
UUUUAAUUAGUUUAAAAAUAAACAUUAUAUUUUCAAUAUAAAAAUGAAUAACUUUUUCAUUAAAAU